GACGAACGCUGGCGGCGUGCCUAAUACAUGCAAGUCGAACGAAACUUUCUUACCCCGAAUGCUUGCAUUCACCGUAAGAAGUUGAGUGGCGGACGGGUGAGUAACACGUGGGUAACCUGCCUAAAAGAAGGGGAUAACACUUGGAAACAGGUGCUAAUACCGUAUAUCUCUAAGGAUCGCAUGAUCCUUAGAUGAAAGAUGGUUCUGCUAUCGCUUUUAGAUGGACCCGCGGCGUAUUAACUAGUUGGUGGGGUAACGGCCUACCAAGGUGAUGAUACGUAGCCGAACUGAGAGGUUGAUCGGCCACAUUGGGACUGAGACACGGCCCAAACUCCUACGGGAGGCAGCAGUAGGGAAUCUUCCACAAUGGACGCAAGUCUGAUGGAGCAACGCCGCGUGAGUGAAGAAGGUCUUCGGAUCGUAAAACUCUGUUGUUAGAGAAGAACACGAGUGAGAGUAACUGUUCAUUCGAUGACGGUAUCUAACCAGCAAGUCACGGCUAACUACGUGCCAGCAGCCGCGGUAAUACGUAGGUGGCAAGCGUUGUCCGGAUUUAUUGGGCGUAAAGGGAACGCAGGCGGUCUUUUAAGUCUGAUGUGAAAGCCUUCGGCUUAACCGGAGUAGUGCAUUGGAAACUGGAAGACUUGAGUGCAGAAGAGGAGAGUGGAACUCCAUGUGUAGCGGUGAAAUGCGUAGAUAUAUGGAAGAACACCAGUGGCGAAAGCGGCUCUCUGGUCUGUAACUGACGCUGAGGUUCGAAAGCGUGGGUAGCAAACAGG
rnacentral:rRNA from 1 species